UGUGGGUGUGUGCAUGAGACAGAGACACUGAGGGAGGUAGGGACGCGGGAGGGGGCGACUGGGCAUUUAUCUCUGUUAAAGAGAAACCCCUAACCUCCCCAGGCCACACCUCCUGCCUGGGCCCCCCCGACCCGGACCCUGCGACUCACUGCUCUCGCGCCCUCCCUGGCCCUGGACCUGCGGCCCCGGCUUCGCAGGGCUGAAGGUGCCCCCAGGAGAGGAGCACAGAGACCCGCAGCCCCUUCCCUGCUGUCAGUCAGCGGCUUUUCUCAUUUGCACAUGUGAGUGUUUUUAUUUCCAAGCUGGGGACAGAUUUUGUCCCUGCCUGUCAGCUGCCCUCCUGAGGAACCCAGGAGACAGGUCUGAGAGGGCCUCUCUGCUCGGGUCUGGGACGGCGCCAGCUCCUCAGACAUCGGAAAUGGCCCCGGGAUGGACGCCCCCUCCUUGGGCAGCUCUGCAGGGCUGGGGCUGGGGAGUGACUCUCCCGUCAUCACCACCACGCUGGGACCAGAGCCGCAGGCCACUUGGCCUGGGCGCAGGAGCUUGGCAGAGGCCUGGGCUGGGAAAGCCAGGCCAUGGGAGCUGAGGGACCUGGGGCUCUGUUGGCCAGAGGGUCAGAAACCAGCAAUCACAGCAUCCAUCUUGCCAGUGGCCUCCCCAGAAGUGGACCUGCCUGAGGGGCCCGCCCUCUGGCCCCCCAAGUGGCUCCGGGCAGUGGGCAGCCUGCUUCCUCUGGCCCUGCUCAUUUGUUCCUUUAGAAUUUGAAAGUUAUUGAGACCUUGCAAGAAAAAAAUAACGAGAAAUUAGUGGGUGAGGAUGAUGGAGUGUGGCCUUGGGCAGCAGGCUGCAGCAGCUUCAGCCGUAAAACCCAAGGUGAGGGGGACGUGGACGCCGACACCCGUGGUUCCUGGGGCGUCAGCCCUGGGCUACCCUCCCCUUCUGACAAGAGAGGGCCGGGGCUGUGCAGGGGGGUUUUGGGUGCCCGGGGGUAGGGUGCAGUGUUCUAAUCAGAAGUGUCUCAGGUCGACUGGGCAAGAUGAGCAAAGAAUAGCCACAGAAAUUUUUAAAAACUGCUGGUCUGACGCUGGCUAUCCAGUGUCAUCUAAAUUACUUUCUAAAGCUCUUUCAGGAAACAAGUGUAUGAGGUUUUGCAUCAGUAUCAUAGGGUCAGGGCGCCCACUACACUCUACUCCAGGCCAGCCAGACCUGGAGAUGGAGGGAGACCCGGGGCCACUCGGCCCAGAAGCCCAGGUCUGAGUCAGAAGCUGCUGUCGUGCUGGACCUGCCACGGGAGAGACUUCGCUUCACGUCCCAGCGGGUCUGAGCUGGAGGCCUCCCCGCUCUGCUCACCGUGCGGCAGGCAGCGGGGCGUGCAAGGUGAUGGUGGCACACGGGCGUGGGCACAUGACUCCCCAUGCGGUCAGGGGCAUCUCCGGCCCCGCCACUGGCUGCCCCUCUGACCACUGCCAUCCUCCUCGUUGCAGCUCUGACCGGACACGGUUGUGCUUGGCAUGUUAACCAUCUUACGGGGGUCGGGGUGAGUUGCCAGGGUGUCUCAUGGCAUGUGUGUGACCAGGUGCUCCGUGACCGAAUGCGUGUCACCUGCCUUUUGAUGACAGACCUCCCUGUCCUCUGGCGAUGCUGCUCCUGAGUUUUGUGUUCCAACCACAUCCUGAAUGGAUAUUUUCAUGUAAAUUUGUGGCAUGUGAAAAGUUUAAAAUAAAGUGGACUUGGUUUAGAAAACCAGGCAGCUGUGUUGUCCUUCCAGCAAGGACACCCCUGACCUUGGUCCUGCGGCCCCGUCUGCAGCCCCUGAGGAGGGGCCGGGGCGGUGGGGCCCUGGUCACCCACAGCUGUUCAGGUGUUGAGGACAGACUCCGUGCUUGGCUGGUUGGGGGUCUCUGAAUGGAGACCUGAGACGCAAAGUAGGGACCAGGUGCUAUCUGGGGCCAUCAGGAGGCGACUGCUGAGUUCGCCUUUGCAGGCUGGGGAGGCAGAGGCCGUGAGGAGGCGGGCAGGGGUGCAGGGACGCCGGGGUGGCCGGGAGCUGCUCUCUGUACCAGGGCUCCGUGUGGCCGGUAGGGGCCGAGGCGGCGCAGGCAUUCUCUGGGGGCCGUGGGGGCCAAGUCAGUUUUAUUUGUAUUUAAUACUCAUAUUUGUAUUUUUCAAUUGUGGCAAAAUAUACAUCACAUAAAAUUUACUCUCUCAACCGUUUCUCUGUGUACAGUUCAGCAGCAUUAAGUACGUUCACACUGUCGUGUAACUAUCCCCACCAUCCUUUUCCAGAACUCAUCAUCCUCCCCUACGAGAAUUCUGCCCCACUGACCACCAACUCCCAUCCCCCUGCCCCGGCCCCUGGCCCCCACCCUCUGCUUUCUGUCUCUAUGAACCUGACUCCUCCCGGGACCUCACAUAAGUGGAAUCAUUAAGUAUUUGUCCUUCUGUGAUUGGCUUAUUUGCAGUAUCAGCUUUAGGCGGAAACUUCCUUCACCAGACCUGGGCGUUGGGACGGGGCUCUGCCCGCAGCCAGAGCAGGUGGGAGGUGGAAACCGAGGCAGGGACAUCAGGGGCAGGUGCGCAGACAUCUGGGGAGGGAGGGGCUGUGGACAGAGGUGGGCCCAGGGAUGCUGAGGACAGAGUGACAAGGGCAGGGGACCAUCAGGUGGGCUGAGGAGGGCUCAGUGAUGCCUCUUGAGCCCCCGGCUUGGUCCUUAAGCUGCGGUGGUGAUGGGGGCAGGCGGGCAGGGGGGCGUGAUGAGGGCGGGAGCCUCCGUCCUUUCUGAUGCUGCCAGAGCCGGUCACCCAAGCAUGGUGUGCACCCACAGAUCUCCCCGUGACGGUUCACUUCUGGCUGGGAGCCGGGGACGAAACUGAGGGGACAGUCCUCAAGGAGUCAGCAGUGACCUUCCCAAGAGGGGCCGGAUUGACCUCUGCCCUGCUGAGUCCAAAGGCAGCAGCAGGGGAGAUGAGGCGGGAGCACAGGUGCGAGAAAUCCCAGCAGCUCUGCUUCCGACACAUGUGAGCCGUGAUCAGCAGGGUGACAGGUUGGUGGGAGUUGGUGGGAGGAGGGGGAGCAAAACAAAACAUAUUUGGAUUAGUCUAUUAAAACAAAGUGUAUACGGUCAAAAAAAAAGAAAGAAAACCACACAACAAACUACCUCCAACUUGAGGACGGAAGGAGCCUUUUGGGGGUGCUCGUGCUUCCCUGUUGGGGGAAGAAAGAUGUCCCGUGGAGAGAGGGAGACCAGGGGCAGGGCUGGCCCUUCCCUGGUCCCAGAUGCCUGCCCGAGCCGAGCUCCUGGCCGAGGUAAGUGCCCCCCAGGAGGGGAUGGCAGAGAAGGGGCCCAGUCUGGGCUGGGGGUCAGGGAGCCUCGGAGAGGUUGGGAGUCUUCCCUCAGACCAGGCCUUUCUCUUAAAAAUGGCCCAGUCCCCCUUGUUUGGAAUUUCUGCUUUGCCCUCCCAUGGGACAGGCAUCUUCCGGGUGCCAGGCCGGGACGCUGAUGCACUGACUGGGCCCUGCCCUGGGGUCUCCUCUGUGAGGCUCAGCGUCACAGCUGUCGGCUGUCGGCUGUCGGCUGUCGCAGGGCUGCUGGCUUUUCUGUGAAGCUGAAGCCCUGGCUCCUGGACUCCUCGGCAGGAGGAGAGUUGAGUGUGGAAGGUCUAGGAGUGGGGCGGCCACUCUGGGUCUUCACCAGGCACCCCAUCUCUGCUGGGGGCAGAAUGGUUGUACGGAUGUGAAGGCACAGCCCAUGCAGACUGGCUGCUGGGGCUGGACUGCCCAUUAGUGGCUGGCGAGGCCAUGGGGGGCUCUGCAGCCCCUCGCACAGCAUGUGUGGAGCCGAGCAGGGGCUGGGGGAGGUGGGCAGCCUGCCAGGGCAUCGCAGCUGGGAGCCCAGUUCCAGGGCUGGAGGGGCCACCUGGGUGGGCAGUGGGCCAGGUUCACAGGGACUCUGCUCCCCAGCAUGGCGGGGCUGCCCCGCCAGGAACACGCCCACCCCUGCACACACUCACGUCCACUCACAACUGCACACGCACACAGAUUAACAAACACGCACGCUCAUGGCCUUACGCUCAGGCGCACACCUGACAUGACACCCUCACACCCUCACAGGCAGGUUCAAACACCCCACAUCUGUAUUCAUGUCACACAAGGCUCACCAGCACAUGUGUGGAUUCACACUUGCAGUCACAGACACACAUGCAAUUCACACUUGCACAGUCACACAAGAUGCCCCCAUCCAUUCUGGUUUUUUUAAUUUAUUUUUUAUUCCCUGCCCCCCAUCCAUUCUGACUCACACUUGCCUACACCCUCACACAGCUGUAUUCACAUGAGCACGUACACAGAUUCACAUGUACACAUAUUCACGUGUUUGCUCACAUACCCACACGGAUGCCCUCACACAUUCUUAUCUGUGUGGACACACCUGGACUCACUCUUCACACGUGCACACGUGGUCACUGAUGUACAUUUCCACACACACCCACCCCCGAGAUCCAUAGCAUUCGUACUCACACCUGCCCACCCAGUCACUCUCACACACAACAUUCAGACACACUCCAAUCCCCCAUCACGUGCACUCACACUCACACACAUUCACACCCGGCACCAAGGGACUGGAUUAAUUUUGCACACCGAUCAGUUAACACAACCAAUUCAAUUAAAGGUAAAGUUUCCAAUUACAUUCAUCCCAGGGAGCCUGAAACAUUCAAAGGGAGAACAAAAGUGGAAGAGAAGUCACCCCGCGCUCUUCCGGCCAGAAAGCAUCUCUGUCGAUGUUUUGGUUAAUGUCCUUCGGAGCCUUUGUUCCUCGCUUUUAAAAACCAUCUGUAGCUGUGAUCAUCCGAUUUAGGGGCCUGCCUUCGCGCACCGCGAUGAAAGCAUCCCGCGCGCGCUCCCAGGCUCGUCGUUUUAACGACGUGGCUUGGCUCUCACGUGCCUGCUGGCCCCCCGCUGUCGGACAAUUAGGUUGUCUCUAAUUAGUCCCUCUUCCAAGGAAAGCGGCUCCGAGUGUCUGGUGCUGGAGUGCUUUCCUAUAUUUAGAAUUAUUUCCUUAGGAGAGACUCUCGUUAGUGACAUUUCUGGGUCUGAGGAGGAAGGUUUUGAGGCCGGGAAGAGGCUUCCGGGAAGCUGGAGAAGCAGGGCGCUGUCCGGGGAGCGGGCUCAGCACCUUCCCGCAGGGCGGCCGGACUCAGUCUCAGCCCCUGGCUUCGGAACGUGGAGGGCGUCUCCCCGCGGCUCCCUCCUUGGGUAUUUUUAUUUGCUAAGUUCCCUGAUUUCAGAUGUGCUAAUUCCCCAGGAUGUCAGCAAUCACUAAGGCAUACAAAUGAGCAGUGCAGAGAAAAACUAAAAUUAAUAACUGUAAGACGACAUAAACCCUAUCAAAUGGUGAUUCUCCAUUUGCCUUUGCAUCCAGGGAGGGUAGGGACCUCCAGCUGGGUGUUCCGUGCUGCAGGAGAGUGGUCUCAGCCAGAGCUUGGCUCCCCUGCCCCGACUCACUUCCAGCUCAGGCCCCAGUCCUGGCCUGGCAGCAGCAUCGCACCAGGCCAUUAGCGCAGGUAGAAUAUGGCCCCCAAGACGUCCAUGCCCUAAUCCCCAGAUCCUGUGACUAUGCUGGUUCCUGACAAAGUGACAUUCCGUGGGCUCAUAAGGAGGACUGGAGAUGGGGAGGUUAUCCUGCCGGGCCCAAAGGAAUCACAACUGCCCUUGAAAGUAGAGGCGGGGAAACAGGAGACCCAGAGACGGCAGCCUGAGCAGGACUCUGCCCAACGUGGCUGGAGGAGGGGCCCCGAGCCCCGGGAUGCAGGCAGCCUUCAGAAGCUGGGAAAAGCAAGGAAAUGGGCUUUCCCUCAGAGCCACCAGAAGGAACACAGCCCCCGGUAACACCUUGAUUUUAGCCCAGUGAACCCUGUGUCAGAGUCCUGACCUCCAGGACUGUACGAAAACUGACUUGUGUUGUUUUAAGGCACUAAGUUUGUGAUAAUUAACA